rnacentral:rRNA from 1 species
GAUGAACGCUGGCGGCGUGCCUAAUACAUGCAAGUCGAGCGAACAGACGAGGAGCUUGCUCCUCUGACGUUAGCGGCGGACGGGUGAGUAACACGUGGAUAACCUACCUAUAAGACUGGGAUAACUUCGGGAAACCGGAGCUAAUACCGGAUAAUAUAUUGAACCGCAUGGUUCAAUAGUGAAAGACGGUUUUGCUGUCACUUAUAGAUGGAUCCGCGCCGCAUUAGCUAGUUGGUAAGGUAACGGCUUACCAAGGCAACGAUGCGUAGCCGACCUGAGAGGGUGAUCGGCCACACUGGAACUGAGACGCGGUCCAGACUCCUACGGGAGGCAGCAGUAGGGAAUCUUCCGCAAUGGGCGAAAGCCUGACGGAGCAACGCCGCGUGAGUGAUGAAGGUCUUCGGAUCGUAAAACUCUGUUAUUAGGGAAGAACAAAUGUGUAAGUAACUAUGCACGUCUUGACGGUACCUAAUCAGAAAGCAACGGCUAACUACGUG